CGUGAGUCGACGCGCGGCGACGGCGAUGGGGCCGGGCCGCUGUUUGGCGCGGCGGCUCGGGCCGCUGCUGUGGCGUAGGGCCCUUCCUCCGGGAGCAGGGCCCGCGGCAAGCGCGGGGCCUCGACUUCGGCCGCUGGCCGUGGGGCGACUGCUGGCGGGCCCGGCGCCCGGCCGGGUCUGCCUGAUCUCCGACCGUGCUCGCGGCCUGCACGGGGGGCCCGGCCUGGAGGAGCUCCGGGAGCGGGCAGCCGGCGAGCGUCGCCCCGAGUCAGGCACAGCAGAUCAUACUGGUCCCAAGUUUGACAUCGAUAUGCUGGUUUCACUUCUGAGGCAAGAAAAUGCAAGAGACAUUUGUGUGAUCAAGGUUCCUCCAGAAAUGAAAUAUACAGAUUACUUUGUGAUUGGUAGUGGAACUUCCACCCGACACUUACAUGCCAUGGCCUACUACAUUGUGAAAAUGUACAAAUACCUGAAAUGUAAAAGUGAGCCUCAUGUUAAGAUCGAAGGGAAGGACACUGAUGACUGGCUCUGUGUGGACUUUGGCAGCAUGGUGAUUCAUUUGAUGCUUCCAGAAACCAGAGAAACCUAUGAAUUAGAGAAAUUAUGGACCCUACGUUCUUACGAUGACCAGUUAGCUCAGAUAGCACCUGAGACAUUACCUGAAGACUUCAUUCUUGGAAUAGAAGAUGACACUUCAUCCCUGACUCCAGUGGAGGUAUCUGGAAAAUGAAGCUGCAUUUGGGGCACAUUACAGAUGAGGAAUGAUCCAUAUGCGGCGUCUGGUCACGGGGGACAACUACUUCUGCGCUUGACAAAUUCUGGAGCUCAUUCACCUGAAAAAGUUCCACCUUUUCCAGAACUGUCACAUAAAUGGGAUCACAGAGUUUGUGGCCUUUUGAGUCGGACUUCUUUUAAUACAUGAGAUUCAUCCAAGUUGUUGUAUGUAUCAGUGUAGUUUAUUCCUUUUUAUUACUAAGUAAUAUUUAUUGCAUAGAUGGACCACAGUUUAUCCAUUUGCCAGUUGACAAACAUUUGCCUCUUCCCGUUUUGGGAUAGUUUAUAAAUAAAGAUGCUAUAAACAUUUAAGUGCAAUUUUUUUGUCAACUCUAUUCUUUUAAAUAAAAAUUUUUGUAAAAAUUUUAUAAAAUAUAACCAAAAUAAAACCCCCAAAAGACUGAUUGUUUUCCUAAAGAAAGCUGUCACUAUAUCAAGCCUUUGUCAACUUGUGUAUUCCUUAAAACAAAAGGACCCAUAUAUUUGAUAUUACAUUGAUUCUCAGCAUAUCAAAAUACAGAAUCUUCAGAACACACAGUUAUCUAUUCAGUGGACACCAUUAGUUGUCCUCUGAUAUUUGUUACCCCACCUUCCAUAAUAAUAAAAUACUUAGCUGACCACACAUGGACUACAUUUCCCUGCUGGCCCACCAGCUACAGCCAGCCUCACAACGUAGUUCUGAGCAACGGAAGGUAAACAGAAAUAUCCUAAAGCAGCUAACAGGAAACCUCCUUCAGAGAAAAGUGGUUCUUUAUGUCCUCUUCUACUGGCUGGACCAGACUUGACUGUUAGAGCACUGAAUUGUAUCGUUUGGGACCAUGAGGAACCAAGGCCAUAGAAGGGGAAGACGAGCUAAAAGGAAUCUAGGUCCAAGGACUUGCUGGGGCAGAACCACAAUACCAGCGCUGGAUUACUUACCUCCAGACUACGUUUUUGGAGAAAGAAUUUAACUUAGCUCGUUUAAGAUACUGUUGUUUGGGGUUUUCUGUCAUACCCUUUUUUUUUUUUUUUUUAACCUCAGGAUAGACUGUCACAUUCAAUUCAAAUUUUAAAGUGGCAAGGAGACCCAUGCUUCUGUAACAAUCUGUAUUUAAAACACUGGGAGAGCCACAGCUGGCAGAACAGUACCUUAAUAGAAGCUCCUGCAAAGCGAGAAAGCUGUUUGAUAUGCUGCCCCUGCUUGCCGAUAAUGGCACCAACAGAUAAAGCUGGGAUAAACAGAUGAACAGUCUCUGUUUCUGAUUGCUGUUGGAAAAGACAGACAGAACAUACAUGCUUAUUUGGUACAAAUCAGGCUGUUAUUGUUGGCAUUGGGACGGGGGCAUCCUCAUACGGUAGGAGUAAUAGGAUAGUUUCAGGAAAAACCACCACAGGAAGUUGACAUGAGUUUACCUGACAGAUCGAGAAGAUCUCAUAUUCAUCCUGAAACCAUCUGCAUUUAAAAUGUCACUUCUCUACACAAUUUCCUUAAACUUUAGAAUGUCACCGAGUUACAGAUUUAAAAGAUAUGUAAGUGUUAUAAAGUUUAAAUGUACUAGAAUAGAGAGACAAGAUUAUGUCUAAAAUUAAGCAAGAUCCCCCAUCACUGUAUCCAAGG